UUUUAUUUGAGUUUGAUGAUGGCUCUGAGUGAACGCUAUGUAAAUGCUUGACACAUGCUAAUCGAACGUCAAUAUUUAAUUUGUAUAAAUUAUGUAUAUUGAAGUGGUGUACAGGUGAGUAAGUGGUAUUAUGGCUACCUAAGAGUAAGGCAAAAUAAAUCCCUUAUAAUAACAAUUUAUUAUAAUUUAUUAAUACUAUAUCUAAUCACCCGAUGGUCGAUUAUAUUGAAAAGUUUAGAUAUAAAGGUUAAUAAUAUUAAAAAUAAAUGUGUUUAAAAGAAAUAGUAUUUCGCUCUUAGUUGAUUAUUAAUAACCAUCGGAUAAGUAGUAAGUAUGGUAAUGGCAUAUUUAGCUUAUGUCCGUAGUCAAGACUGAGAGGUCUAUUGACCACACUGGGUCUGAAAAAACCCCAGUGCGUGUAGUACAGCAGUGAGGAAUUUUGGUCAAUGGCCUAACGGCUGAACCAGCAACUUGCAGGAAUGAGAGUUAAUAUAAUAAGUUUAUUAACUUGCUUGACUAGGUCUUAUAAAGUUCUGGAUAAAGCUUAUUAUGAAAACUUUAUAUCCAUAGGUCUCGACCAAAUCUUGUGCCAGCAGUCGCGGUAAGACAAGGGAGACGAGUGUUAUUCAUCUUUAACAGGUAUAUAGGGUACCUAGACGGUGUGCAAUGGCUUAAAUAAGUACCUGGUACACUUGAGUUUGAUAUGUGAGAGGAAUAUGUCGGAAUUGUUGGAGGAGAGAUGAAAUUUGUUGAUACCAAUAGGACUGAUAACGGCGAAGGCAAACCUCUAUGUACAUGUACUUGCUAUUUCUAAAUUAGAAGAAAUUUCUCAUAUAUAUUUUAUUUAAAGGAGGAAAAAAGCGAUGUGAAAAAAGCGAUGUCCUUUUAAAAAGGGAUCUCUCGACAAAUUUUAUAUAAAAGAGGAAAAAAGCAAUGUGCUAUAACUGACGUUGAGGGACGAAGGCUCAGAUAGUGAAGAGGAUUAGAUACCCCCGUAACCUGGGCAGACAAUGAUGAGUGCCAUAGGUUGGCUUUAAGGCGGAACUAUAAAUGAAAGUGGAAGCACUCCACCUCAAGAGUAAUGUGGCAACGCAGGAACUGAAAUCAUUAGACCGUUUCUGAAACCAGUAGUGAAGUAUGUUAUUUAAUUCGAUGAUCCGCGAAUAACCUUACCACAAUUUGAAUGACCUAAAAUAUUGUUAGCCUAGGGCUAGUUAACCCUAGGUUAUAAAGUUUUAGACCACAUGCGUUGCAUGGCUGUCUUCAGUUAAUGUCGUGAGAUUUGGUUAGGUCCAUUAAAUUAACGUAAACCCUUGUUUUAUUUAUUACAAUAAAGCAGCUCUCCGCUUACAAUUGGAUGUGAUAAUAGGGACUAAGACAAGUCAUCAUGGCCUUAAUAUUGUGGGCUGAUAAGUGUUGUAGGAAUACACUAGAUUGGCUAAAACUAUCAAAUUACGGGGACCUCCUAAAGCUUCUGGUACCAAGCUGUAGUCGAAAGUCUACAAGUGGCUGAACUAAUUACUCA
rnacentral:rRNA from 1 species